rnacentral:rRNA from 1 species
UACGGAGGGCGCAAGCGUUGUUCGGGGUCACUGGGCGUAAAGCGCGUGUAGGCGGCUUUGCAAGUCGGAUUUGAAAUCCCUAGGCUCAACCUCGGAACUGCACUCGAAACUGCCUGGCUCGAGUCCCGGAGAGGGUGGCGGAAUUCACGGUGUAGGGGUGAAAUCCGUAUAUAUCGAGAGGAACUCCAGUGGCGAAGGCGGCCACCUGGACGGUGACUGACGCUGUGACGCUAAAGCGUGGGGAGCAAACAGG